rnacentral:rRNA from 1 species
GAUGAACGCUGGCGGCGUGCCUAAUACAUGCAAGUCGAACGCAUUGUGGUUGAAAUGAUAUGAAGAACUUGUUCAGAUUUGAUUUUCAACAUUGCAAUGAGUGGCGAACGGGUGAGUAACACGUGGGAAACCUACCUCUUAGCAGGGGAUAACAUUUGGAAACAAAUGCUAAUACCGUAUAAUAAUUAAAACCGCAUGGUUUUAGUUUAAAAGAUGGUCUUGCUAUCACUGAGAGAUGGUCCCGCGGUGUAUUAGUUAGUUGGUGAGGUAAUGGCUCACCAAGACAAUGAUACAUAGCCGAGUUGAGAGACUGACCGGCCACAAUGGGACUGAGACACGGCCCAUACUCCUACGGGAGCAGCAGUAGGGAAUCUUCCACAAUGGACGAAAGUCUGAUGGAGCAACGCCGCGUGUGUGAUGAAGGGUUUCGGCUCGUAAACACUGUUGUAAGAGAAGAAUGACAUU